AAAAAAAAAAGGAGAGAAAAUAAAGAAGGAAAACUUUUUGGAGGGUGUUUGGUUGGGAGGGAGAGAGGAAAAAAAGAUGGUGGGGCCCAGGUGUUUUCUCCUGGGGCCCACCAGAAAGUUUUCUCCCCAAAAUAGAGAAAACUAGGCAGAAAAAUGGACCAGU